GAGCUUGCUCUUCGAUUCAGCGGCGGACGGGUGAGUAAUGCCUAGGAAUCUGCCUGGUAGUGGGGGACAACGUUUCGAAAGGAACGCUAAUACCGCAUACGUCCUACGGGAGAAAGCAGGGGACCUUCGGGCCUUGCGCUAUCAGAUGAGCCUAGGUCGGAUUAGCUAGUUGGUGAGGUAAUGGCUCACCAAGGCGACGAUCCGUAACUGGUCUGAGAGGAUGAUCAGUCACACUGGAACUGAGACACGGUCCAGACUCCUACGGGAGGCAGCAGUGGGGAAUAUUGGACAAUGGGCGAAAGCCUGAUCCAGCCAUGCCGCGUGUGUGAAGAAGGUCUUCGGAUUGUAAAGCACUUUAAGUUGGGAGGAAGGGCAGUAAGAUAAUACCUUGCUGUUUUGACGUUACCGACAGAAUAAGCACCGGCUAACUCUGUGCCAGCAGCCGCGGUAAUACAGAGGGUGCAAGCGUUAAUCGGAAUUACUGGGCGUAAAGCGCGCGUAGGUGGUUUGUUAAGUUGGAUGUGAAAGCCCCGGGCUCAACCUGGGAACUGCAUCCAAAACUGGCAAGCUAGAGUACGGUAGAGGGUGGUGGAAUUUCCUGUGUAGCGGUGAAAUGCGUAGAUAUAGGAAGGAACACCAGUGGCGAAGGCGACCACCUGGACUGAUACUGACACUGAGGUGCGAAAGCGUGGGGAGCAAAC
rnacentral:rRNA from 1 species